rnacentral:lncRNA from 1 species
UUCAUGGGGUCGCAAAGAGUCAGACACGACUGAGCGACUGAACUGAAUAGAAAGUAGGGUGCAACAGCAGAGAGGAAACACGCUAUGCUGUACUUUGUGGUUGUUUGUGAUCUGCUGUGACUUUUAUACUACUUGUCAUAUAUUUUGUAAAUCAACCAGGAAAAGGAGGCUUUGCCCAGGACUUCAGAACAGUCUAAGUGAGCCUAACUGAAGGCAGGAAGGAUGCUCGAGGGAAAUAGGCAGUACCUGUGAAAUCUAUCUUCUCCCUUCUGUUCUGUUCCCUUUCCGUUGAAUCUAGAAGAUGUGGGCACUUCCUUCAAGACGCCUGCAGCCCGUGUGUCACAGAGGAGAAGGUGGCAAAGAGGAAGGAGGCAGGGAUCACAAAGGCUGUUGGUUAUUGUGCCAUAUGCUGGAAUUACUAAAACAACACUGUAAAUCAACUCAAUUUUUAAAAAUACAACAGAAUUUGGAAGGUUUAAUAGUCAAAAGAAGCCCUUUGCCUCUAAGCCCACACUUCUCAUGACCUUGUAAAAAUGUUCUGAUUUCGAGUCAAAUGUUCAAAUAAUAUCUAGGAGGAAAUUGCCUCAGAAUCUCAAGUGUUAUAAAUCCAAACCUUUCACUGGAAGACCUAAGGUCUAAUUGCAACUCUUUGUUACAGCAUCUCAUGAGGUGAGUGGCCCUAGAGGGCCAGCCCCUUAUUAGCCCCUCUCUCUCACAUCUGGUGGGUCAGCCAAACACUCACUGGUGGAUGGGCUAAACACUCAGACCCUGAACCAACAGCACCAGAGCCGCCUGCAGACUUGUUAGAAACAGAACCUCUGGGUCUCUUCCCCAGACCUACUGAAUCUCUGAGAGUGGAGCUGGGCAUCUGCCUUUUAGCAAGACCGCUGGCCCUUUAAAGUUCAAGAACCAAUGACCUAAAAUCCUAUUGGCUUUUUGUCCUAGUUCUUUGUUUUCAGCUUGUUUAUCAUAUGUUAUGUUACAUUGGGUUGGCCAAAAAGUUCAUUUGAGUUUUUCCAUAUGAUGCAGAAAACCUCAACAAACUUUUGGCCUAUAUUGCAUUGCAUUACAUUAUGUGUAUAUGUAAAACAUGAGUUACUCCUAUAACUCCCCAUGAAGUCAGAGGUGUGAGGAAGCAAGGCCCAUGUAGUCACACUAGGUUUCGAGAACUGCCCCAAGAAACCAGAACAGGACUCUCUACUGUGGCACGCCUGACAUUUUGGUUGUGGUCCCUCUUUGUUGCAGGCAUUGCUGACCACUCAGCAGUAUCCCUGGCCUCUACCCACUAGAUGCCAGUAACACCCUUCCAGCUGUGGUUUGUGACAAUGAACAGUCUGGAGUCUUUGCUAAAGGUCUCAGGAAAGGGAGUAGGCAAGAUUGCCCAUCCUCUUGAGAAUCUCCAGCUCAGAGUGAUAAACAGCGUGGGUGUCUUCACGGGGGGUUAGCCAGGAAAGGGCUAGCUUCAGAGGCAGUGGGCUGGCGUUCAUACUGGGGCAGUAGCACCUGCCAGUGCUGCUUGCCAGGCCCGGCUCACAUUGUACACUCACUGCUGCGUUCAGCCCUUACGGCAAGCCUCUAGGGCAGGCUGUGUUCCCAUUUUAUGGAUGAAGAAACCAAGGUGUAGAGAUAAAGUCACACUGAUAGGUGAUAUACCAGGGAUUCAGCCCAGGUUCAUCUUAAUCAUGCUAUAGUGCCCAUCAUUUACUUAUUUUAUUUUUUGUGAAGACUUUCUCCAUUUUAGGGAUAAAGAUAUAAAGCCCAGAGAAAGAUUCCUUUUCUACUGUUAACUUACUUAUUUUCGGCUGCCUCGGGUCUUCCUUGCUGAGCACCUUGCUGAGCGUAGGCUUCCUCUAGUUGCUGCGAAUGAGGGCUGCUCUCUNNNNNNNNNNNNACAGGCUUCUCGUUGCUGUGGCUUCUCUUAUUGCGGAGCACAGGCUUUAGGCGGGCAGUAGUUGUAGCCCACGGGUUUAGGUGCCUCGUCACAUGUAUGAUCUUCCCAGACCAGGGAUCAAACGCGUGUCCCCUGCGUUGGCAGGUGGAUUCUUAACUACGGGACCACCAGAGAUACGUGCUAAGUUGCUUCAGUCGUGUCUGACUCCACCGUUCUGUGGACUGUAGCCUGCCAGGCUCCUCUGUCCCUGUAAUUCUCCAGGCAAGAAUACUGGAGUGGGUAGCCACUCUCUUCUCCUUCGGAUCUUCCUGACCCAUUUCCUUCACUGGCAGAUGGGUUCUUUACCACUAGGAA